GUAGGCCUCCCUGAAGCCUGAACUUGGCAGGCCCCAAGCAAGCCAGGAAGGAAGCAGGAAGAGUCUCUGCAGCAGACUCUCUGCCCAGACCAUCCAGCCCAGCUUUUGCAAGCAGUGGAACUGAAAAAUUUGCUAGGAAGACAUUCAAAUCAGCAAAAGAAAAUCCUCUGGGACAACCCUGACCAGAAGCCAGGAAGAAUGCCAGGAUCGCUCCACAGGACAUGGGAAAAGGAUGCCCCUUACUCUGCAGCGUGGUCAGCCUUGAUGAGGAAACUCCUGUGGCUCCUGUCAGAAGUCAUUCACGGACAGAUCCAGGAUUCAGAGUGUCAACAGUGGGAACGAGAACCUGGAUGAAGAAGGUGCCACCAGUUCCCCGAGGAGUGUCUUUGCAGCUGAAGAUGAUGGGUGGUUUCUGG